rnacentral:rRNA from 1 species
AGUGAACGCUGGCGGCAGGCCUAAUACAUGCAAGUCGAACGGCAGCACAGCAGAGCUUGCUCUGUGGGUGGCGAGUGGCGGACGGGUGAGGAAUACAUGGGAAUCUGCCCAGUCGUGGGGGAUAACGUAUGGAAACGUACGCUAAUACCGCAUGCGCCCUACGGGGGAAAGUCGGGGACCGCAAGGCCUGACGCGAUUGGAUGAGCCCAUGUUCGAUUAGCUGGUUGGCGGGGUAAAGGCCCACCAAGGCGACGAUCGAUAGCUGGUCUGAGAGGAUGAUCAGCCACACUGGAACUGAGACACGGUCCAGACUCCUACGGGAGGCAGCAGUGGGGAAUUUUGGACAAUGGGCGCAAGCCUGAUCCAGCCAUGCCGCGUGC